rnacentral:rRNA from 1 species
UACAGAGGCCACGAGCGUUAGGCGGAAUCACUGGGCUUAAAGCGUGUGUAGGUGGAUCGGUAAGUACCUUGUAAAAUCCCACGGCUCAACCGUGGAACUGCUUGGUAUACUGCCAGUCUUGAGGCACUCAGGGGCGAGCGGAACAGAUGGUGGAGCGGUGAAAUGCGUAGAUAUCAUCUGGAACGCCAAUGGUGAAGACAGCUCGCUGGGGGUGUACUGCCACUGAGACACGAAAGCCAGGGGAGCGAACGGG